rnacentral:rRNA from 1 species
UUUAAAUUGAGAGUUUGAUCCUGGCUCAGGAUGAACGCUGGUGGCGUGCCUAAUACAUGCAAGUCGUACGCUAGCCGCUGAAUUGAUCCUUCGGGUGAAGUGAGGCAAUGACUAGAGUGGCGAACUGGUGAGUAACACGUAAGAAACCUGCCCUUUAGUGGGGGAUAACAUUUGGAAACAGAUGCUAAUACCGCGUAACAACAAAUCACACAUGUGAUCUGUUUGAAAGGUCCUUUUGGAUCGCUAGAGGAUGGUCUUGCGGCGUAUUAGCUUGUUGGUAGGGUAGAAGCCUACCAAGGCAAUGAUGCGUAGCCGAGUUGAGAGACUGGCCGGCCACAUUGGGACUGAGACACUGCCCAAACUCCUACGGGAGGCUGCAGUAGGGAAUUUUCCGCAAUGCACGAAAGUGUGACGGAGCGACGCCGCGUGUGUGAUGAAGGCUUUCGGGUCGUAAAGCACUGUUGUAAGGGAAGAAUAACUGAAUUCAGAGAAAGUUUUCAGCUUGACGGUACCUUACCAGAAAGGGAUGGCUAAAUACGUGCCAGCAGCCGCGGUAAUACGUAUGUCCCGAGCGUUAUCCGGAUUUAUUGGGCGUAAAGCGAGCGCAGACGGUUUAUUAAGUCUGAUGUGAAAUCCCGAGGCCCAACCUCGGAACUGCAUUGGAA